UCUACAUGAUAUUGCCAGCCAAACAUGGAAUUCAACAUAGAAACUAUCUUGGGCUCCAACAAAGAGAUCACUGAAGUGCCAAAGGCCUCCAGCGUGAGCAUCUCAUGAUAUACAGGGGACUACAGCAUAUUCUAUAGAAUUGGUUUGAACAGUGAAGAAGGUGGAUGGUGGUUAGAGUAAAUAUUUAUCCUCCUCAAAGUUUCUUGAACCCAUGGCCAUCAGCCCACUCAUUGAAUGCUGCAUGUCCUUGAAGCACCAUUGACCUGACCCUUGCUGCAUGAGGACUCACCAGGGAAAUACCCCUCAUGACAGCCUGAGACUCUGGCCCCCAAGUUUCAGUGUCUAAGCUUGUGGGACUGGACCACAUAGAGAAUGCAUUUUGCUAGAACCUGAGGUUGCCAGGACCUGGAAUCCAAACAAGUUCCCAGAAGUACUUUGAUUUCUCCAUACCAAAUCCAUGGUCACCAUAUUGCAAAAUGAUGGUGGUCACAUUCAUAUUCUCACUACGGAUCCUGCACUUUUUUCAUUGUGUUGACUUCCUUUGUCAUGGCGGAGCUUUGCAUGGUCUGGGACGAUAAGGACCUCGGGAUUUCAGCAUCAAUUAGUAGAGACUCUCCCUCCUUGCUUUCAGUUCUCAAAUCAGUAACCAACGAGCAGCAUCACAUGGAGAACCCCAAGCAAAGGUCUCCGGUGGCAGUCCCUGGGAUGUUCUAGCUUUGGUGUUCCUCAGAGUUUGUAAUUAGGUUUAUAUCCCUUGCCUUAAUAAUCAAAGGGUCCAAAAUCAUAACUUCAAAGUGCAAUGGAAGAAAAUAAUAUUUUAUCCAACAACUGCAAUGAACACAGGCUGAUGUCUCAAAUUUAUUCCAUUCAUGAUUCUUCAAACCAGAAAAGAUGUGUCAACAUAGAUAUGGUCUUUAUUGCAGGGAACCAAUGCCAUGACUGUGUGUACUGUUGAUUCCCAGUCACUGAAGCCAGUUUCCUAUUUGUGGAGCAAGGACAUUUUGCACAAAGCUCUUCUGUUAGAUAAUGGCAAGUAAUACCUUAUCUAUAGCUGAAAGUCUUAAUAUGAAAGUUUCUACCUCUUACAAGAGAGGCAGCCUUGGUCCCCCACCAGUGGGAUCCAGUUGUCUCUGCCCAUUUGUGGAGUAACUUGGAGGACAGGAAUCUGGUUUGCUGAAAGACCAUGGGGUGGAGAGCUUACUACAGUGCUGAUGCCCAGAGGAAUGCUGGGAGGUGGGGGUUGAAGACACAGACAUGUGACAGCUUGGGUCCCUGAAUGGCGGUGUGGAGCAGAGACUUCCCCUCAGCACAAGCUCUACACUGUGCACGAGAGUGACCCCGUCUGUUUGUAGCUGCAGCUUCCUCUGCCCCUGGUAUUCCCAAUGCUGACUCCGUGUUGCUUGAUUCUCGAAUGGAUGUUUGAGCAGCCAUCAAAUCAUGUCUGAGGUCUGUCACCGAGGUGAAGUCACAUAAAUCAGG